rnacentral:lncRNA from 1 species
AUAUUUAGCUACUAUGCAAUUUGGUUAUUAGUAAUUUGAUUUUGUUGUUCGUAUAGGUUGUAGCAUAUUUUGCAAGUAGUAUGAGAUUUGCAUUGAUUAUCGUUUAUCAAACAGAUGGGUUUGCUUUAGAAUUUAAAAUUAAAUACAAAAACGAACAAGAAUAGAAGACUGGUAAAUUGGACAUUGCAAUAACCACUUUACUAUCAUUGUUGUUUUCGAAGCUUAGCUAAGAAGAGUAUAAAGUUGGAUAUUAUGUGAUUUGUAGUUGCAUGGGAUGAUUUUUAUGUUCAGAAGUUCAUUGCUGGAUAGGUAUUCUCCAGCGAGGUUGAUCAACUUCUCCUUUUGUCAACAUUUGGUGAUUGCAUUGGACUUCUACUUUACUGCUUGAUUGUUUUAUCUAAUUCUAUUUAUGUAUUCACGUUUUUCUUCUCUUUUUUCCCUAAUUGUCUUUAUUUUUUCUGGUGGUUGGUAAAUUUUCUAUUGUUAAUCUUAACAUCUAUAAUGGUAUUCAAUUGGCAAAUAUGUUGGGCAUAUGAUAGCUGUUGGCUUGAGAAUUAUGGGCAUUAUCUUUUUCCAUGUGAUAGCUGUUGGCUUUGUAGUUAUCUAUUGGUUCAUUUUGUGAGAAGUCUGCUUCUUGUUUUGCUGUUCUGUUGUGACAUUCCAGAAGCAUUGUUCCAUCACCAGGUGCAGUCUGGUUUUGCAUAUAUAAGAGAUAUGAUGACAUCUAUCUUGACUCUCUCCAGAUAGAUUAUAAAGCCUGGUGACUGAUACAUCUGCUUAUUUUCUACAUAAUACACCUGGUCUCUUUAUGUAUUCAUUUGUUGUCUUUCAGAUCUUCUGAACAUUGUUCUCCUCGAUUUUUUGUUGUGUGGCAUCCAAUAGCUUUUUUAUUUCUGAAAUUUUGGGGUGUCUUAGCUUCUGAACCUUAAUUUUGGGUUUUUAAUGUGAUCUUUCAUGAUCAUGGGGUCAUCAAAAUGUCUGUUUUUGUUGGAACUUUCUGUGAUAUACUGAUAAUGAAAUUGGUACAUUCUCUGUUCUAAUGAGUUCAUUACAUCCAUUGUUAUUUUUCACUUGGCUAUUGAAGAGCCUAUAGUUUUUAUGUCCUGAUUUUGGUGUUUUAGUUUUGGUUAAUUUUUCAGAAUUUCCUUUUUUUCUCCUCUUGACAUUGCAUUGGGUGGUAGUGGUACAAAUUAUUUUGUGCUUCAUCUUUGUGAACCAUUGGUAUCAGAAUUUCUGUGGUCUCUUUCCCUUUAUUCAGCUUUUGCUUUUCUUUUCUUUGAGACACAUGCCUGUUUCUCUUAUUCUAUGCUUCAUUUAUUGUUCAAGAAGCUAGGAUGGGGCUAACAGUGAAUGCAGUGAACCUUUGGUUGGUGAUCUCGAGCAAUAAUGGUAUGUAAUUUUGACAGUCUGUUAAAUAUUCACCAAUAGGGUCACUCGGCGAACUGGGUUUUCAAUUCUAUUAUAUUUUGUAGUUGCAGCAAUCUGUAAGUCAUUAUAUUUUGGUUUCUGAAAUUUUGGGAUGUCUUAGUUUCUGAACCUUGAUUAUGGGGUUUAAUGCCGUCCAUCAUGAUGAGCAUGGGCAUUUUUAUAUACUAACUAGGUCAUCAAAAUGUCUGAUUGUAGGAAUAGAUCAUAAAAGUGUCAAAGAACCUAUAGAUUAAUUUUCACAAAAUCCUUUUUUUUUCUUUGAAAUAGAUUUUAGUUGUACAUUGCCUUCAAUUCUAUAUCACAAUUUUUGUUGUUACUUUAUGGACAUUGUAUUGGGUGGUACAAAUUAUGUUGCACUUCAUCAUUGUGAACCAUUGGUACUAAAUCUCUCUGCUGCUCUCUUUUCACUUAUUCAGCUUUUGCUCCUCUCUUUUUCUAAACAUGUGCUCGAUUCUCUUCUAUGCUUUAUCUAUUGUUAAGAAGUUAGGACGAGGCUAACAGUGAAUGUGGUAAACCUUUGGUUGGUGAUCUUGACUAAUAAUGGUAUGUAAUUUUCACUUGUUUGGAUGGUCUGUUAAAUAUUCAUUAAUUGGGUCAUUUUGCAAACAGGU